rfam:Culex pipiens quinquefasciatus supercont3.111 genomic scaffold, whole genome shotgun sequence.
CAAACGGCCCUUUUCAGGGCCACCAAAAUUCUCACGUAAGAGUUGU